rnacentral:lncRNA from 1 species
UUUCAAUCACAUUGAAAGAGUCUCAAUUUAUGGCUUGCAUGGCCAAGCCACCAUUUCAGCCCAAGGAACCACCUUUCAAUCACGUUGAAGGAGUCUCAAUUUCUGAGUGACCAAGUAUUCCGAAUGCACCAAAGAUAUCACCAUGCAUGGUUUGCGUAUGGCCAAGAAAAAAUUGCUCCGCUCACUCUGAAGGAUGCUCAC